GCCUCCUUGGCCCAGUGGUAAGGCGUCGCACUCGUACGAAUUUAAGCCUAUGCGAAGAUCGAUGGUUCGAAUCCGUCAGGAGGCA
rfam:Tortispora caseinolytica NRRL Y-17796 unplaced genomic scaffold CANCAscaffold_3, whole genome shotgun sequence.